UACGAAGGGGGCUAGCGUUGUUCGGAAUUACUGGGCGUAAAGCGCGCGUAGGCGGUUUUGCAAGCCAGAGGUGAAAUGCCUGAGCUCAACUUAGGAAUUGCCUUUGGGACUGCGAGGCUUUGAGGACUGGAGAGGUGAGUGGAAUUCCCAGUGUAGAGGUGAAAUUCGUAGAUAUUGGGGAAGAACACCAGUGGCGAAGGCGGCUCACUGGCCCGGUACUGACGCUGAGGCGCGAAA
rnacentral:rRNA from 1 species